rnacentral:rRNA from 1 species
CCUACGGGAGGCAGCAGUCGAGAAUCAUUCACAAUGGGGGAAACCCUGAUGGUGCGACGCCGCGUGGGGGAAUGAAGGUCUUCGGAUUGUAAACCUCUUUUGUCGGGGAGCAAAAGACGCCACGCGUGGCGUUCCGAGAGUACCCGAAGAAAAAGCAUCGGCUCACUCCGUGCCAGCAGCCGCGGUAAUACGGAGGAUGCGAGCGUUAUCCGUAUUUAUUGGGUUUAAAGGGUGCGAAGGCGGAAUAUCAAGGCAGCGGUAAAAUUGAGAGGCUCAACCGCUUCGAGCCGGUGAAACUGGUUUUCUUGAGUGGGUGAGAAGUAUGCGGAAUGCGUGGUGUAGCGGUGAAAUGCAUAGAUAUCACGCAGAACUACGAUUGCGAAGGCAGCAUACCGGCGCUCAACUGACGCUCAUGCACGAAAGUGUGGGUAUCGAACAGGAUUAGAUACCCUUGUAGUC